AAAAAAGAUUUUUUUAAAUCUACAACACGUUUACCAAACAGUUAAAG
rfam:Loxodonta africana unplaced genomic scaffold scaffold_42, whole genome shotgun sequence.